GACUGCACUUGGCCGUGGGUAAUGGAAAAUACGAAGGCAAAGUCGUGGAUGCGAGGACUACUGUAUGUGGAAAGGCCCCAUAGUUGACAUAGAAGACAUCAUAUGAAAUAGAGAGGGUAACCAAAACCAAAGAAAUGACUCCAGCACCUAGCCAAAGGCAUGCCUCAAGGAACAACAUGGAGGGGAAGUCUCAACAUACAGGACAAGAGACAAGCCACACACGAACAGAAUUGUAACAUCGAGCGUUGGAGGUCGGCUUUCAUUCCUUUCUUCUUGGCCUGGAGUAACCUUGAUAGCAACCGUUUUCCCUGCACU